GAGACCACCGUGUGCGUCUUCCGCAGCUUCCUCAAGCUGUGCCCCGAGGAGGCCGAGCAGUACGUGUCGUACCUGCGCUCCGUCGGCCGCCUGGACGAGGCCGCGCAGGUGCUGGCCCGGCUGGUGAACGACGAGCGCUUCGUGUCCCGCCAGGGCAAGUCCAACUACCAGCUGUGGCAGGAGCUGUGCGAGCUGCUCUCCCAGCACCCCG